rnacentral:lncRNA from 1 species
GAUAAAAUACACAAGCUCCUAAAAACCUGCAUACUUCCAUUAAAGAGUCACAUGAAUCCUUCAUCCUUCCAAUUGCAUCAACUUUGCUUGGAUCUGGCUUUCUCCCAUAAAAUCCACAUAAAUGCCCAAAAAUAAGAACUUCUUGCACUCUAAAUGUAGAUUUUGUUCCUGAAAGUGUAAGAUGAACCUCUUCAAGUCGAGUUAAAAUCUUUUCACAAUCUUGU